UACGGAGGGGGCGAGCGUUAUUCGGAAUCAUUGGGCGUAAAGGGCGCGUAGGCGGCUUCGUAAGUCUUGGGUGAAAGCCCUCGGCUCAACCGAGGAAUUGCGCCCGAAACUGCUGGGCUUGAGUGAGACAGAGGUGAGCGGAACUGAUGGUGGAGCGGUGAAAUGCGUUGAUAUCAUCAGGAACACCGGUGGCGAAAGCGGCUCUCUGGGGCUCGUUCUGACUGCUGAGGGUACGAAAAGGCUAGGGAGACGAACGGGAGUUAGAAAACCCCACG
rnacentral:rRNA from 1 species